rnacentral:rRNA from 1 species
AUGGCUCAGAACGAACGCUGGCGGCGUGCUUAACACAUGCAAGUCGAACGCGAAAGGGACUUCGGUCCUGAGUAAAGUGGCGCACGGGUGAGUAACGCGUAGAUAACCUGUCUUCAUGUCUGGAAUAAUACGCCGAAAGGGGUACUAAUACCGGAUAUUCUUGCUUUUCAUAAGUUAUGCAAGCAAAGGUGGCCCCUGCAUAUGCUACUGCAUGAAGAGGGGUCUGCGUACCAUUAGCUAGUAGGUGGGGUAAUGGCCUACCUAGGCGACGAUGGUUAGCGGGUCUGAGAGGAUGAUCCGCCACACUGGCACUGGAACACGGGCCAGACUCCUACGGGAGGCAGCAGUGAGGAAUAUUGCGCAAUGGGGGAAACCCUGACGCAGCGACGCCGCGUGAGUGAGGAAGGCCUUCGGGUCGUAAAGCUCUGUCAAGAGGAAAGAAGUGUACAAUGGCUAAUACCUGUUGUAUUUGACGGUACCUCUAAAGGAAGCACCGGCUAACUCCGUGCCAGCCGCCGC